CUGCGAGAUGAUCGCGCCGGUGCCCCGUCAGGGGCUUAAUCGGGAAUGCGGUGCGGGCGUGCGAGCGCCCAAUUCCGUGGCUGUCCCUGCAACUGUAAGCGGAUAGUGCGAUGCAUAUGGUCGAAAGACCGGCCACUGGACCGAUGUCCGGGAAGGCUAUGCAUUCGUGCUGCGACCCGCGAGCCAGGAGACCUGCCGGCGCUUGGUCGCUCUU
rnacentral:ncRNA from 2 species